UCCAAAUUAUCUGAUCCAAAUUUAAGAUCACGCAUCUAAAAAUUCAAACAUCUGAACACAAAUUAUCCGAUCCAAAUCGUAAGAUCACACAUCUAAAAAUUCAAACAUCUUAACAGUCCAAUCCAAAUGGUAAGAUACUAACAUUGGACAAUUAGGUACAAAUAUUGUAAAACCUUCCCUCAAAGUCAAACAGCGUAUCUGUCUCUUCGAUUCCCACGCCUAAUCGUUUCUUCCCCGACUUCAUCCAUCGCCGCCGUCGUCUGCUCCACUGCUGGCUCGUUCAUCCACCGGCGUCGCUGCCUAAUCCAGCACCGUCGGCUUGCUCUAACGUCCGUUGCUAUUGCGAAAGUAUUUCCUACACCAUCGUGACUUGCUUCAUCUGAUGAGCUUAAUAGACUCAAUCACUUCAAUGCAACAAAGUGGAAUCAUCAAGAUUUGAGUUGUGGAAAAUCACAGAAACAUAUAUCCAUUAGAUAUAUUUGAUUUAGGCGGUCCUUUUUGAGCCUUAAUAAUCUUCAUUUUUUUAACGGCUAGUUUUUUUAUAUUUUUGAUUUGGAUGGCUAUUUAGAUUUAUAUUUGGACCGUUGUUUGAUCAUAUUUUUUUGGUAAAAAUUUGGUUACAUAACUAA